GCCUGCCCUGUGGCACAGGGGGUCAGUGUCUCUGGCUGUUAACCAGAAGGUUGCAGGUUCAAGCCCGCCCAGGGACU